UACGGAGGGUGCAAGCGUUAUCCGGAUUCACUGGGUUUAAAGGGUGCGUAGGCGGGCAGGUAAGUCCGUGGUGAAAUCUCUGAGCUUAACUCAGAAACUGCCAUGGAUACUAUUUGUCUUGAAUAUUGUGGAGGUAAGCGGAAUAUGUCAUGUAGCGGUGAAAUGCUUAGAUAUGACAUAGAACACCAAUUGCGAAGGCAGCU
rnacentral:rRNA from 1 species